rnacentral:rRNA from 1 species
UGGUGGAGUGAUUUGUCUGGUUAAUUCCGAUAACGAACGAGACCUCCGCCUGCUAAAUAGCGCCGCCCGGCGGUCGCCGGGCGCUGCGCUUCUUAGAGGGACAAUGGAUGUUUAGUCCAUGGAAGUUGGAGGCAAUAACA